CUCAGUAACACGUGGCCAAACUACCCUGUGGACGAAGAUAAUCUCGGGAAACUGAGGUCAAUCCUUGAUAUGGCUUCCAUCCUGGAGUGGAUGAAGUCCAACAGUCGCGCUGCGGCACCACAGGAUGUGGCUGCGGCCGAUUAGGUAGACGGUGGGGUAACGGCCCACCGUGCCAAUAAUCGGUACAGGUGAUGAGAGUCAGAGCCCGGAGACGGUAUCUGAGACAAGAUAACGGGCCCUACGGGGCGCAGCAGGCGCGAAACCUUUACACUGCACGAGAGUGCGAUAGGGGGACUCCAGAUGUGCGAGGGCAUACAGUCCUCGCUUUUGUGGACCGUAAGGAGGUCCAAGGAAUAAGGGCUGGGCAAAGACCGGUGCCAGCCGCCGCGGUAAUACCGGCAGCCCGAGUGAUGGCCGAUAUUAUUGGGCCUAAAGCGUUCGUAGCCGGCCAGACAAUGUCUGUUGGGAAAUCCACGCGCUCAACGCGUGGGCGUCCAGCGGAAACUGUCUGGCUUGGGGCCAGACGACUCGAUGGGUACCUCCGGAGUA
rnacentral:rRNA from 1 species